UUACCACUCUGGCCUUUUGGCUUAGAUCAAGUGUAGUAUCUGUUCUUAAUAGUUUAACCACUAUUAUGGAGGCACCGCCUCCAUUAUUGGUUAUCUAAUUUUUGCCGCCCUUGUUCCUUGGGCUCUGCUUGCAACCCGGGGACGCGAUGACCUUGCCGCUGCACUACUGGCCUGCGUCGUCGGGGGAUU
rfam:Peniophora sp. CONT PENSPscaffold_406_Cont532, whole genome shotgun sequence.